rnacentral:rRNA from 1 species
UAGGGAAUCUUCGGCAAUGGGGGGAACCCUGACCGAGCAACGCCGCGUGAGUGAAGAAGGUUUUCGGAUCGUAAAGCUCUGUUGUUAAGGAAGAACGUGUGUGAGAGUGGAAAGUUCACACAGUGACGGUACUUAACCAGAAAGGGACGGCUAACUACGUGCCAGCAGCCGCGGUAACACGUAGGUCCCGAGCGUUGUCCGGAUUUAUUGGGCGUAAAGCGAGCGCAGGCGGUUAGAUAAGUCUGAAGUGAAAGGCAGUGGCUCAACCAUUGUAGGCUUUGGAAACUGUUUAACUUGAGUGCAGAAGGGGAGAGUGGAAUUCCAUGUGUAGCGGUGAAAUGCGUAGAUAUAUGGAGGAACACCGGUGGCGAAAGCGGCUCUCUGGUCUGUAACUGACGCUGAGGCUCGAAAGCGUGGGGAGCGAACAGGAUUAGAUACCCUGGUAGUCCACGCCGUAAACGAUGAGUGCUAGGUGUUAGGUCCUUUCCGGGACUUAGUGCCGCAGCUAACGCAUUAAGCACUCCGCCUGGGGAGUACGACCGCAAGGUUG